AUGUCAAAGGUCUCUUCAGCUAAGCCAUCUACCUUUCUCUUAGAUCCCAUUCCAACGAGGCUGCUUAAAGAAGCAUUACCCGUGGUUAACACUCCAUUACUAGAUAUGAUCAAUAUGUCGCUAUUAACAGGUUAUGUACUGCAGUUAUUUAAAG